CAUAACUCUAAAUCCAUUCAGGCAUUUGAAUGCAUAAUCCAUUCCUUCAUUCAUCAUUCUCAUUCUUUUGUUUUGAGUGAAUGGAUUAUGCAUUCGAAGUGUUUGACGGAAUGGAAGCAUAUG
rnacentral:pre_miRNA from 1 species